CUUAGAUUGUUUCAUCCUCAUUAUUUCAGAUAUUGGUGAUUAAUCCUUCUUAUAUUUUGAUGUUAUUUCUGGGAACAGGAAGCCCCAGUUGUUGGGAAGAGAACCCGAUCAUCUGGGAAACAGGAUCAGUGGGCUCAGUGUGAUAGUUGCUCCAAAUGGAGAAGGCUUCCGGUGGAUGCUCUUCUUCCUCCAAAAUGGACAUGUGCAGAGAAUUCUUGGGAUCCAAACAGGAGUUCAUGUUCUGCACCAAAUGAGAUGAGCCCAAAGGAAUUGGUAAAUCUUCUAAGAUUGAAUAUGGAUUUUAAAAAGCAGAGGAUUAUGGCAAGCCAUAAAUCAGCCCAGGAACAAGAACCUUCAGGCCUUGAUGCUUUGGCCACAUCAGCAGUCCUUGGAGACGGUGCCGGUGACUCAGGCACACCAUCAGUUGCAACCACUACAAGACAUCCUCGGCAUCGACCUGGAUGCACUUGUAUUGUAUGCAUCCAGCACCCAAGUAAGAAAGGCCCCAAACACAU